UGCCCCGGCCGGCCGGGCUGGGCUGGCGCUCCGGGCGGGAUGAUGUCAGGCACAGCCCCGGGCGGGCGCUCAUUGGCUUCCCUCACCUGCGCCGGCCCUUAACCCUAAACUGCCGGCCGCACACUGAAAGAAAGGUGUCUAAUCCUUCCAUACAUACGCACAGCACCUCAUAUGUUGCAAGCUGGGGUUGUCUGAGACUGACUUAUCAUCUUACAUAGCAACAUGAACAGGAUUUUAGCUUGUCAUUGAGAAAGUGAAAGGUUGCAAAUGCAAGAUGUGGCCAGGGAUAUGUAUUCUUCCACCACUGCCAUCUGUUAGAGGUGGGGCUGUUGUCUUCUGUUAAUAGGCCACGUGUUAAAAUCAGGUGGGGCAGUUUUCUUUAUCUCCUCCACAACCCAUCCUCCCUCUGAGAAAUAUCUGCUGUUAAUGGGCCCUUGAGUCCUGCUGCAUGACUGAUAAAAUUACAUCAUCCCGUUGUGGCAUGCUCUGCCCGGGGGGAGGAGCCAAACAUUCCUAACUGGAUAUAAUCUGAGAUUUGGAACACCACAGGCAGCCUUUUCCCACUGGAUUCCCAGAGGAAGAUAAGGCCCAUCUGCACCACCACUGGACCUUCGGAGGAAAACUACGCACUCUACAGAUCACUGCUUCAAUAGAACCACAUCUGCCACUCCAGGAGGACUGCAGCCACCAUUCAGCACUCUGACCCACAGGGUGUCAGGCCGUAU